rnacentral:rRNA from 1 species
AUUGAACGCUGGCGGCAUGCCCUACACAUGCAAGUCGAACGGUAACGCGGGGCAACCUGGCGACGAGUGGCGAACGGGUGAGUAAUGUAUCGGAACGUGCCCAGUUGUGGGGGAUAACUGCUCGAAAGAGCAGCUGAUACCGCAUACGACCUGAGGGUGAAAGCGGGGGAUCGCAAGACCUCGCGCAGUUGGAGCGGCCGAUAUCAGAUUAGGUAGUUGGUGGGGUAAAGGCUCACCAAGCCAACGAUCUGUAGCUGGUCUGAGAGGACGACCAGCCACACUGGGACUGAGACACGGCCCAGACUCCUACGGGAGGCAGCAGUGGGGAAUUUUGGACAAUGGGCGCAAGCCUGAUCCAGCCAUGCCGCGUGCGGGAAGAAGGCCUUCGGGUUGUAAACCGCUUUUGUCAGGGAAGAAAAGACUCCUGUUAAUACCGGGGGUUCAUGACGGUACCUGAAGAAUAAGCACCGGCUAACUACGUGCCAGCAGCCGCCGUAA